UCUGUAGGUGGUUUAAUAAGUCAACUGUUAAAUCUUGAGGCUCAACCUCAAAAUCGCAGUCGAAACUAUUAGACUAGAGUAUAGUAGGGGUAAAGGGAAUUUCCAGUGGACGCGGUGAAAUGCGUAGAUAUUGGAAGGAACACCGAUGGCGAAGGCACUUUACUGGGCUAUUACUAACACUCAGAGACGAAAGCUAGGGUAGCAAAUG
rnacentral:rRNA from 1 species